rnacentral:rRNA from 2 species
UACGUAGGGUGCAAGCGUUAAUCGGAAUUACUGGGCGUAAAGCGUGCGCAGGCGGCUUUGCAAGACAGAUGUGAAAUCCCCGGGCUUAACCUGGGAACUGCAUUUGUGACUGCAUGGCUGGAGUGCGGCAGAGGGGGAUGGAAUUCCGCGUGUAGCAGUGAAAUGCGUAGAUAUCGAGAGGAACACCUGCGGCGAAGGCGGGUUGCUGGGCCGACACUGACGCUGAUGCGCGAAAGCCAGGGGAGCGAACGGG